rnacentral:rRNA from 1 species
GAUGAACGCUGGCGGCGUGCCUAAUACAUGCAAGUCGAGCGAACAGACCAGGAGCUUGCUCCUCUGACGUUAGCGGCGGACGGGAGAGUAACACGUGGAUAACCUACCUAUAAGACUGGGAUAACUUCGGGAAACCGGAGCUAAUACCGGAUAAUAUAUUGAACCGCAUGGUUCCAUAGUGAAAGACGGUUUUGCUGUCACUUAUAGAUGGAUCCGCGCCGCAUUAGCUAGUUGGUAAGGUAACGGCUUACCAAGGCGACGAUGCGUAGCCGACCUGAGAGGGUGCGCGGCCACACUGGAACUGAGACACGGUCCAGACUCCUACGGGAGGCAGCAGUAGGGAAUCUUCCGCAAUGGGCGAAAGCCUGACGGAGCAACGCCGCGUGAGUGAUGAAGGUCUUCGGAUCGUAAAACUCUGUUAUUAGGGAAGAACAAAUGUGUAAGUAACUAUGCACGUCUUGACGGUACCUGAUCAGAAAGCCACGGCUAACUACGUG